AUCAUGAUUCACAAAGAGCUCAGAACUGAGGCAGCUAUUCUGCUCAAAGAGAGUGAGGUUGGCAAUAGCAGUGUUUGCUAGCAUACACAAUCUAUUCUCUUCCCUAUGCCCUGCCUUUCGUAGAUGCUAAAAAAAAAUAAUAGGUCUACACAGCUGUUAUAGCGAGUGUGAGAUUCUGACCAUAACUAUCCCCUGCGUGGAUGGCACAAAUAUGGGAGGUGAGAUCAAGCAUAAACAUAGGGUGACUACGGAAGUUUGCAGCUGGCACUGAAUAUAAACACAGACCUCAAACAUGGAGGAAGAAGAUACGAAGAGACAGAAACAUAGUCAGCCCAUGAAGAUAUCAUUCUUGCCCAGCUGCAGACACUAAGAGAGGGAGGAACAUGCGGACACUAAGCAGGGAUGAACAUCUCAGAAUCCUUCCUUGAUUAUCUAGUCAAAGAUGUCGUACUACCAAAAUAAUACAAGCUCUCUAAAACCUCCAUGGAGUGAAAAGUCUGCCAAUACACGGAAGUCGGGAGUUAAUGACAAGAAAUACCUGUUGGUGUUAACCUCCUCCCCCUCACCUGCCUUUUCAAGGACUGCUUCUUCUACAGGCCAGCUGAUAGAUCUGGAUGGGAAUUAAUCCAGUAUGUCUGGUGGCCAGAUCUCUGCUGCUGCUGCGUGCAGGGGCAGGGGUAUACUGGUAUGCUGGUUUCACAGAAAAAAAAAAAAAAAAAAAAAAAAAAAAAAAGGAAAUGAAUAACAAAUCAGAUAGAAAAAAGAAAAUGGAAAGCCCAGAUCGCUUCAGACAGUACACGCAUCCUGAUACUUGACCGUAGUUUUAAGAUGGCAUUUUCCCCGCUGCGUCCGCCAGAGUAUAGAAACGGCUUCUCGACGUGUAUUUUUUAUUAGCUGCAUAUUUAAUUGUUAACAAUAGGCUGUCCUGCUCGCCUGCAACUCUCCAGCUAGUGUCACCUUCCUUCUUGUCAGUUUCGAGCCGGUUCCCCGGCGUACCUGAUCAGAUGCGCGUUCUCCAUCCUACCCAACGGCAAUUACCUGAGGUAUUCUACCAAGUCGGCCGCAAACGCAAAGCGACUUUAUUUGCUAAAACUCGGGACAAAUGCUUACUCAGAGAUGCUG